rnacentral:rRNA from 1 species
AUUGAACGCUGGCGGCAUGCUUUACACAUGCAAGUCGAACGGCAGCACGGACUUCGGUCUGGUGGCGAGUGGCGAACGGGUGAGUAAUACAUCGGAACGUGCCCAGUUGUGGGGGAUAACUACUCGAAAGAGUAGCUAAUACCGCAUGAGAACUGAGGUUGAAAGCAGGGGAUAGUAAGACCUGGCGCAACUGGAACGGCCGAUGGCAGAUGAGGUAGUUGGUGGGAUAAAAGCUUACCAAGCCGACGAUCUGUAGCUGGUCUGAGAGGACGACCAGCCAGACUGGGACUGAGACACGGCCCAGACUCCGACGGGAGGCAGCAGUGGGGAAUUUUGGACAAUGGGCGAAAGCCUGAUCCAGCAAUGCCGCGUGCAGGAUGAAGGCCUUCGGGUUGUAAACUGCUUUUGUACGGAACGAAAAGCUUCGGGUUAAUACCCUGGAGUCAUGACGGUACCGUAAGAAUAAGCACCGGCUAACUACGUGCCAGCCGCCGCCGUAAAAC